AAUCAAUUUAUUCUUUUAUUUACUCUACCUUUUUACUUAUACUCAGUUACAUGGUACGACUAUAAGCUCAUCUUAAGUAUACUUCUUAACGACGCAUACUUAAGCACUCGCCCUCCACUGUAAGCCCUACAUAGUAUUCUUAUUGUCUACUAUAGGCCGCCGCUGUAGCUAUCGCUAGUCAUCCUAGAUAUCUCUCUUGACAUUAUAUCUUAACUUGUGAUAGUGGCACUACCUCCUGACCUAGUCAUCAAGCUCAGAAGCACAGUAUAAGCCCUAACCUUACCUUAUCUCAUAAGAGGCUUGCUAGGUUAGAGACUCGGUAGCAAUCAAUAAUCAAUUCAAUAUCAAAC
rnacentral:sRNA from 1 species